UGGGGAAUAUUGCACAAUGGGCGCAAGCCUGAUGCAGCCAUGCCGCGUGUGUGAAGAAGGCCUUCGGGUUGUAAAGCACUUUCAGCGAGGAGGAAAGGUUGUUGGUUAAUACCCAGCAGCUGUGACGUUACUCGCAGAAGAAGCACCGGCUAACUCCGUGCCAGCAGCCGCGGUAAUACGGAGGGUGCGAGCGUUAAUCGGAAUUACUGGGCGUAAAGCGUACGCAGGCGGUUUGUUAAGCGAGAUGUGAAAGCCCCGGGCUUAACCUGGGAACUGCAUUUCGAACUGACAAACUAGAGUUUUGUAGAGGGUGGUAGAAUUUCAGGUGUAGCGGUGAAAUGCGUAGAGAUCUGAAGGAAUACCAGUGGCGAAGGCGGCCACCUGGACAAUAACUGACGCUCAUGUACGAAAGCGUGGGGAGCAAACAGGAUUAGAUACCCCCGUAGUCC
rnacentral:rRNA from 1 species